GAAUCUUGCGCAAUGGGCGAAAGCCUGACGCAGCGACGCCGCGUGAGUGAUGAAGGCCUUCGGGUUGUAAAGCUCUGUGGGGAGAGACGAAUAAGUGCAGCCUAAUACGUUGCAUGAUGACGGUAUCUCCUUAGCAAGCACCGGCUAACUCUGUGCCAGCAGCCGCGGUAAGACAGAGGGUGCAAACGUUGUUCGGAUUUACUGGGCGUAAAGCGCGUGUAGGCGGCUUUGCAAGUCGGAUGUGAAAGCCCACGGCUCAACCGUGGAAGUGCAUCCGAAACUGCAUGGCUUGAGUCUCGGAGAGGAAGGUGGAAUGCUUGGUGUAGAGGUGAAAUUCGUAGAUAUCAAGCAGAACACCUGCGGCGAAGGCGGCCUUCUGGACGAUGACUGACGCUGAGACGCGAAAGCGUGGGGAGCAAAC
rnacentral:rRNA from 1 species